GAGUAUGCCUGUAAUCCCAGCUACUCAGGAGGCUGAGAUGGAAAAAGAAUCGCAAAUAAGCAUAAUGUGAAGAGCAUGAGCUUUGGAAUAAGCAAGCCUGGAAUUACAAUUUUCUUUUAUUAGCUCUGUGGCUGUAAUACUCAACUUUUGCAAGCUUCAGUUUCCUCGUCUGUGAAAUGGAAUAAUAGCACUUACCUCAUUGGCUGUUGUAUGGAUUAAAUGAGACCAUGACUAUGGAUGUAUGGCAUUUGGUACCCAAUAACCCCUCAAUAAUCGGCAGCUAUAAUUAUUCAUAAUAAUAAUGGUGGUAGCAACAAACCCAGCCCAAACAUCUGAAGGACCGAUCACUAAAAAGAAGAUGAACUCAGUCCUACGUAGUAACAAGAAUGUGACAUCUAUGUUGUUGCCAAAAGUCUGGAGGAGUUGCCAGGACCAGAGAGAAGGAGGUGGUGAGGCCGGCCUGGAAGAGGGAGGGGACAGAUGUCAAGGACCCCAAUCUUGAGGUGGAAAGUUCUGUGAUUAACCCAGAUGAAUGUCUCUAACCUCCAACUCUUCUGUUCUCAGAGUUUUAAUGGGGCACACCGUGUGCUGGGCAUUGACAUAGAUGGGAAAAGCAUGACCUAAAAUAAGGGCUGGAAGCCAAGACUGGGAGGAAGGGCAAAGGGAGCAGGCAGCCUGGCACCAGGUACCAGUGAGGUGUCUGCUCUUUGUCCCCAUCACCUGUCAGCUAAGGAAUUCUGCAUGUCAUCAGUGCAAUAAAAUGUGAUCGCCAGAGUGAAAACCUUGUAAUAGACCAGCUGUGGCUUCUCUCAACACCAGUAUGUCCAAGGAGGAUGCAUUUUUAUUGCUUUUGUGGUCUUAACAAAAAAGAUUCAUGAGCAUUGUAUAAAAGGCAUAUUAAAACAAUUCGGUAAAAGGAUGAAAGAAAAA
rnacentral:lncRNA from 1 species